GGCGAACGCUGGCGGCAGGCCUAACACAUGCAAGUCGAACGGAUCCUUCGGGAUUAGUGGCGGGCGGGUGAGUAACACGUGGGAACGUGCCCCUUGGUUCGGAACAACUCAGGGAAACUUGAGCUAAUAACGGAUGUGCCCUUCGGGGGAAAGAUUGAUCGCCAUUGGAGCGGCCCGCGUCUGAUUAGCUAGUUGGUGAGGUAAAGGCUCACCAAGGCGACGAUCAGUAGCUGGUCUGAGAGGAUGAUCAGCCACAUUGGGACUGAGACACGGCCCAAACUCCUACGGGAGGCAGCAGUGGGGAAUCUUGCGCAAUGGGCGAAAGCCUGACGCAGCCAUGCCGCGUGAAUGGUGAAGGUCUUAGGAUUGUAAAAUUCUUUCACCGGGGACGAUAAUGACGGUACCCGGAGAAGAAGCCCCGGCUAACUUCGUGCCAGCUGCCGCCGUAAUAC
rnacentral:rRNA from 1 species